UCAAACUUUCUGAUUCCAAACUGGUUUGAAGGCGAGUCCACAGGGUUGACAAAGGAUAAUCCUUUCCCCUUACCUGAUGCAUACUUGACAUCUCAACAAAGAAAUCAACAGAAUUUGGGUGAGAUAAAGAAAAUAUUGAGAGAAGCUCCGCUCGAAGAAAAUCGCAAAAGAGAGCUAUCAUCGGCCCUUCAUGUGUACUUCAAGGACUGGUUAUACGCUUCCGGAAACAUUCGUCAGCUGUACUGUUUACAAGGUGAUUAAGAUCUUGACGGUACACUGCGACAAUUUAUAGGCAGAUGGUUUAUGAUUUUCAUGCAGUUUCAAGCUCUUCUGCCAGUUCCGAAUGCAAAAGAAAGAAAAAUUAUGGAUUAACUGUGAGUCUUGUGCACCGAAUGCAAACAAUUAGAUAAUAGACAUUAGCUAAAUCUCAAUGUAAUAAUUUUGACAUGAAAAA